rnacentral:rRNA from 11 species
GCCGACCCUCGGACAGGCGUGGCCACAGGAUAUCCCGUAGCCGCAAUAUGCGUUCAAGAUGUCGAUGUUCAAAGCAGUAUGCAGUUCACAUUAAUUCACACAGUUGGCUGCACUCUUCAUCGACACACGAGCUGAGUGAUCCACCGCUCAAAGU